rnacentral:rRNA from 1 species
UACGUAGGGUGCGAGCGUUAAUCGGAAUUACUGGGCGUAAAGCGUGCGCAGGCGGUUUUGUAAGCCAGAUGUGAAAUCCCCGGGCUUAACCUGGGAAUGGCAUUUGGGACUGCAAGGCUGGAGUGUGGCAGAGGAGACUGGAAUUCCUGGUGUAGCAGUGAAAUGCGUAGAUAUCGGGAGGAACAUCAGUGGCGAAGGCGGCCCUCUGGCCCAAUACUGACGCUGAGGCGCGAAAGCUAGGGGAGCAAACGGG